CGAUCACAAGAAAUUAAUUUCAUCCUACUCUCAAGAUGCCUUAACUGUUUUGAAAUAUUCACCAAAAGCGAUUCCAAAGAUCUUCAGCCCUGACAACUUAACUACAACAAUCAGAAAGGUUGAGCUGUUGGCUCAUCCUUUGAAGUGGAAGGAAAUCUUCAUCAACUCAAGGCCAGAGAUUACUCAAAACAGAAGAUACAAUGCAAAAGAUCUUUGGGUUCGAAUGGACUUGUGACAUGAACAUGG